rnacentral:rRNA from 2 species
GGGUUGUGAGGUUAAGCGACUAAGCGUACACGGUGGAUGCCCUGGCAGUCAGAGGCGAUGAAGGACGUGCUAAUCUGCGAUAAGCGUCGGUAAGGUGAUAUGAACCGUUAUAACCGGCGAUUUCCGAAUGGGGAAACCCAGUGUGUUUCGACACACUAUCAUUAACUGAAUCCAUAGGUUAAUGAGGCGAACCGGGGGAACUGAAACAUCUAAGUACCCCGAGGAAAAGAAAUCAACCGAGAUUCCCCCAGUAGCGGCGAGCGAACGGGGAGGAGCCCAGAGCCUGAAUCAGUGUGUGUGUUAGUGGAAGCGUCUGGAAAGGCGCGCGAUACAGGGUGACAGCCCCGUACACAAAAAUGCACAUGCUGUGAGCUCGAUGAGUAGGGCGGGACACGUGGUAUCCUGUCUGAAUAUGGGGGGACCAUCCUCCAAGGCUAAAUACUCCUGACUGACCGAUAGUGAACCAGUACCGUGAGGGAAAGGCGAAAAGAACCCCGGCGAGGGGAGUGAAAAAGAACCUGAAACCGUGUACGUACAAGCAGUGGGAGCACAGAGCAAUCUGUGUGACUGCGUACCUUUUGUAUAAUGGGUCAGCGACUUAUAUUCUGUAGCAAGGUUAACCGAAUAGGGGAGCCGAAGGGAAACCGAGUCUUAACUGGGCGUUAAGUUGCAGGGUAUAGACCCGAAACCCGGUGAUCUAGCCAUGGGCAGGUUGAAGGUUGGGUAACACUAACUGGAGGACCGAACCGACUAAUGUUGAAAAAUUAGCGGAUGACUUGUGGCUGGGGGUGAAAGGCCAAUCAAACCGGGAGAUAGCUGGUUCUCCCCGAAAGCUAUUUAGGUAGCGCCUCGUGAAUUCAUCUCCGGGGGUAGAGCACUGUUUCGGCAAGGGGGUCAUCCCGACUUACCAACCCGAUGCAAACUGCGAAUACCGGAGAAUGUUAUCACGGGAGACACACGGCGGGUGCUAACGUCCGUCGUGAAGAGGGAAACAACCCAGACCGCCAGCUAAGGUCCCAAAGUCAUGGUUAAGUGGGAAACGAUGUGGGAAGGCCCAGACAGCCAGGAUGUUGGCUUAGAAGCAGCCAUCAUUUAAAGAAAGCGUAAUAGCUCACUGGUCGAGUCGGCCUGCGCGGAAGAUGUAACGGGGCUAAACCAUGCACCGAAGCUGCGGCAGCGACACUGUGUGUUGUUGGGUAGGGGAGCGUUCUGUAAGCCUGUGAAGGUGUGCUGUGAGGCAUGCUGGAGGUAUCAGAAGUGCGAAUGCUGACAUAAGUAACGAUAAAGCGGGUGAAAAGCCCGCUCGCCGGAAGACCAAGGGUUCCUGUCCAACGUUAAUCGGGGCAGGGUGAGUCGACCCCUAAGGCGAGGCCGAAAGGCGUAGUCGAUGGGAAACAGGUUAAUAUUCCUGUACUUGGUGUUACUGCGAAGGGGGGACGGAGAAGGCUAUGUUGGCCGGGCGACGGUUGUCCCGGUUUAAGCGUGUAGGCUGGUUUUCCAGGCAAAUCCGGAAAAUCAAGGCUGAGGCGUGAUGACGAGGCACUACGGUGCUGAAGCAACAAAUGCCCUGCUUCCAGGAAAAGCCUCUAAGCAUCAGGUAACAUCAAAUCGUACCCCAAACCGACACAGGUGGUCAGGUAGAGAAUACCAAGGCGCUUGAGAGAACUCGGGUGAAGGAACUAGGCAAAAUGGUGCCGUAACUUCGGGAGAAGGCACGCUGAUAUGUAGGUGAAGUCCCUCGCGGAUGGAGCUGAAAUCAGUCGAAGAUACCAGCUGGCUGCAACUGUUUAUUAAAAACACAGCACUGUGCAAACACGAAAGUGGACGUAUACGGUGUGACGCCUGCCCGGUGCCGGAAGGUUAAUUGAUGGGGUCAGCGCAAGCGAAGCUCUUGAUCGAAGCCCCGGUAAACGGCGGCCGUAACUAUAACGGUCCUAAGGUAGCGAAAUUCCUUGUCGGGUAAGUUCCGACCUGCACGAAUGGCGUAAUGAUGGCCAGGCUGUCUCCACCCGAGACUCAGUGAAAUUGAACUCGCUGUGAAGAUGCAGUGUACCCGCGGCAAGACGGAAAGACCCCGUGAACCUUUACUAUAGCUUGACACUGAACAUUGAGCCUUGAUGUGUAGGAUAGGUGGGAGGCUUUGAAGUGUGGACGCCAGUCUGCAUGGAGCCGACCUUGAAAUACCACCCUUUAAUGUUUGAUGUUCUAACGUGGACCCGUGAUCCGGGUUGCGGACAGUGUCUGGUGGGUAGUUUGACUGGGGCGGUCUCCUCCUAAAGAGUAACGGAGGAGCACGAAGGUUGGCUAAUCCUGGUCGGACAUCAGGAGGUUAGUGCAAUGGCAUAAGCCAGCUUGACUGCGAGCGUGACGGCGCGAGCAGGUGCGAAAGCAGGUCAUAGUGAUCCGGUGGUUCUGAAUGGAAGGGCCAUCGCUCAACGGAUAAAAGGUACUCCGGGGAUAACAGGCUGAUACCGCCCAAGAGUUCAUAUCGACGGCGGUGUUUGGCACCUCGAUGUCGGCUCAUCACAUCCUGGGGCUGAAGUAGGUCCCAAGGGUAUGGCUGUUCGCCAUUUAAAGUGGUACGCGAGCUGGGUUUAGAACGUCGUGAGACAGUUCGGUCCCUAUCUGCCGUGGGCGCUGGAGAACUGAGGGGGGCUGCUCCUAGUACGAGAGGACCGGAGUGGACGCAUCACUGGUGUUCGGGUUGUCAUGCCAAUGGCACUGCCCGGUAGCUAAAUGCGGAAGAGAUAAGUGCUGAAAGCAUCUAAGCACGAAACUUGCCCCGAGAUGAGUUCUCCCUGACUCCUUGAGAGUCCUGAAGGAACGUUGAAGACGACGACGUUGAUAGGCCGGGUGUGUAAGCGCAGCGAUGCGUUGAGCUAACCGGUACUAAUGAACCGUGAGGCUUAACCUUACAACGCCGAAGGUGUUU